rnacentral:lncRNA from 1 species
UGCCACCGAACUAAAGUAGCAAAAGGAAGAUCUAUAUAUGAAAUUACAAUAAAGGUUGAGGCAAGUAACUUGACAGUAACUUUAAUAUAGCUUUUAUGACUAAAUUGGUAGUGAAGAAAGAGUGACACAUGCAUUAGUACGAUUGCAGCCUUGUUUCUUAUCCAGGGUCAAACUUUUUCAAGGGAAAAAAGGUCAUUGAGUACAACCCAACACAAGGUCUUAUAUAGAGAGCAUGGACUUUAAGUUCCCUGUGGUUACUCAGCUGGGCAGAGGUGGAAGGUAUCCUGGAGGAGGUUCCCCCAGACAGGGGAGCCAAGAAGCCACCACUGGUGUCUGUCUCAGUGGCGUACGUGCUCGCUUUAUGUGACAAGAUUACGGCCUUGUGACUGCAGCUCUCUCCCAUCAUCAGCCUGGCAUUAACACUGGCAGGGACGAUGAGGGAUGCUACGCGAUGUCACACAGUCACAGCAUGCCUGGGUGUUCAGGGUUGGGGCUGACACUUCCUCCUCUGGAACAGGUCAGAGAUAAAGAAGCUACAGAUUUUAAACCCAAUGGUCAUCCAAUAAAGAUUGUAG